rnacentral:lncRNA from 1 species
CUGCAUUUCAACAAAGGUGGAUAAGCAGAAAAGGCAAAACAGCCUUGAGGAGGGGAAGCUGAGGCAGACUGGAUGCUCAGACACCAAGAUUUUGACAAAUCUUAGAGUCUGGAUGCCUGGGUGGGGAAAAGUUGUGGUGGUGCUGCUGAUGGAGCUGCAGUAGCACGGAUCAGCAGAGGACCCAACCCAUGCAGAGCAGCAGGAACAUCAGUUCCUCCUGUUUCCUUGUGAAAACUGGUGUGAUUCCUCUUGCUGAUGAAGUGGCAAACCCGUCUUCCAGGAUUCCAGCUGGCAUGGUUUGCCUUCACAUGUUUGUGAACACAAAUGAAUUUAGCACCGAGGGACUUGGACACAGACAACGUUUCACCAGCUUAAAGAUUUAGAUGUCCAGUGAAAGCUAAGCUCAGCCUUUGGCCCCUUCCUAGAGAGCGUGGGAUAAACUGCCAGCUGGG